rnacentral:misc_RNA from 1 species
AACAUCGCGCACCUGCGGGAACCUGCGGAGGGAUCAUUAAUGCUUUAGCGGGUGUGUUGCGGCCCUCGAGGCCCCGUGCAUUCGCUGCACGGGAACAAGCUCCGGGAGGUGUAGGGUUCCCACGUGGGGCCCUCUCACGCGCACAUGACUGAAUCCUUACUUUACUCGUACCUCUCGUUCUCCUUCGGCGGGGCAGCCUGCCGUUGGAACAGCCAAAACUCUUUUUUUGCAUCCAGCAUU